rnacentral:rRNA from 1 species
CCUACGGGAGGCAGCAGUGAGGAAUAUUGGUCAAUGGACGCAAGUCUGAACCAGCCAUGCCGCGUGCAGGAAGACGGCUCCAUGAGUUGUACACUGCUUUUGUACGAGGGUAAACGCAGAUACGCGUAUCUGUCUGAAAGUAUCGUACGAAUAAGGAUCGGCUGACUCCGUGCCAGCAGCCGCGGUAAUACGGAGGAUUCCAGCGUUAUCCGGAUUUAUUGGGUUUAACGGGUGCGUAGGCGGUCGGAUAAGUUAGAGGUGAAAUCCCGAGGCGCAACUUCGGAAUUGCCUCUGAUACUGUUCGGCUAGAGAGUAGUUGCGGUAGGCGGAAUGUAUGGUGUAGCGGUGAAAUGCUUAGAGAUCAUACAGAACACCGAUUGCGAAGGCAGCUUACCAAGCUACUUCUGACGUUGAGGCACGAAAGCGUGGGGAGCAAACAGGAUUAGAUACCCCAGUAGUC